CUUGAUCGAACCCAGCCACAGCGGCCGCUCGGCCGGCCGCUCGGCCCCAUAGGUGGCGAUCAGCGCUUCGGCCUC
rnacentral:antisense_RNA from 1 species